rnacentral:rRNA from 1 species
GACAGAGGGUGCAAACGUUGCUCGGAAUUACUGGGCGUAAAGCGCGUGUAGGCGGACUGGUGUGUCGGAUGUGAAAUCCCCAGGCUCAACCUGGGAACUGCAUUCGAAACUGCCAGCCUUGAGUGGUGGAGAGGGAAGUGGAAUUCCUGGUGUAGAGGUGAAAUUCGUAGAUAUUCGGAGGAACACCAGUGGCGAAGGCGGCUCACUGGGACGGUACUGACGCUGAGACGCGAAAGCGUGGGGAGCGAACAGG